CUUCUCCAAUCUGGCAAGCACAUCGUGGAUUCGCGCUUCUCCUCAGAAAACCAAACCCUAAAUUCGCAAGAGGGGCCGGAGCAAAGGAGCCGCGAGAUUGAUACGACCUUUCCUGCUGGUUGGGAUUUUACAAAUGGAAGGUGCUUUAAGUGAAGAUGAUGGGUUGAUGCGAGAUAGUGGCAACAUGGAUCUUAAUAAUAACAAUGGUGAUCCUCACAUGGCACUGGCUUUGGGUGCUCUUGGUGUUGAGCUGAACCAGCACAUCCAGUCACACCUGCUGCAGAUGGAAAACUCUGACAUUGGGGAACCUUUGAUUGGGAUGGAGUUUGAUACUGAUGAGGCUGCAAAGGAAUACUAUGUUGCAUAUGCGAACCGUGUAGGGUUUGGUGUCCGAAUGAAUAAAUCACGUCGAUCCAGGAAGGAUGACACUGUGAUCAUGCGUCGGUUUGUUUGCACGAGGGAGGGCUUUCAUUCAAAGAGAGUGAUCUAUGAUGAUGGAAAGAAGAAGAGGAAGCGUGGGACGACGAGGGAGGGUUGCAUGGCAAUGAUUGAGGUGAUACGGAAAGAUCACGGGAAGUGGGUUGUUACCAAACUUGUGACGGAUCACACCCAUAUGGUGGCACUGCCUGGCAAAAUCCGCCCUCAGUUGGAGAAGUCUUCAUUUUUGAAUGACAGUGCAUACCUGGUUCAUGGAGAAUCGAGUGGUGGAUUUAAUAACUUGAAGAACUUUAACAGAGGAAUUAGAGUCAAUCCUUUCGGGGAAGGUGGAGAAGCUCAAGGGCUUUUGGAGUAUCUGAAGAGAAUGCAAGCUGAGAAUCCGGCUUUCUUUUAUGCUAUCCAAGUUGAUAACAAUAAUUGCAUGACCAACGUAUUUUGGGCGGAUGCUAAAUCUAGGCUGGCAUACCAAUAUUUUGGCGAUACAGUCACGUUUGACACUACUUAUAAGAAGACAAAGUAUAUGAUGCCGUUUGCAACGUUCAGAGGUGUGAAUCAUCAUCUGCAGUCAGUUACGUUUGGUUGUGCAUUACUUAUGGAUGAAACAAAGGGUUCAUAUAUAUGGCUUUUUGAGACAUGGCUUGCUGCCAUGGGUGGCCAACAUCCGCAUUCACUUGUUACUGAUAGAGAUAAGGCUAUGGAAGGAGCAAUCACAAGGGUGUUUCCAAACACUCGUCACCUCUUUUGCAAAUGGCACAUACUAAGCAGGUGCAAACAGAAACUGUCUGAUGUAUAUUUGAAGUAUCCUACAUUAAAAGCAGAAUUGAAAAAAUGUGUCAAUGAGUCUGAAACCAUCGAAGAAUUUGAGACUAAUUGGGAGUACAUGUUGGAUAGGUAUAACCUUUGGGACAACACUUGGCUUCAAUCACUGUAUGAUAUCCGUCGAAAGUGGGCCACUGUCUACCAGAAAGAUACAUUCUUUCCUGAACUGUCUGGUUCACAACGAUCAGAGAGCUUAAACAAGUUUUUCAAGAGGAAUUUUAACACAAAGACCUCUCUGCUUUUGUUUAUCCAGCGAUUUGAUCAAGCCAUGGCAACUCAAUAUGAGAAGGAAGCUGAGGCAGAUUUUGCUACUGUAUACUCAAAGCCUCCAUUGAAGAGCCCAUCUCCAAUGGAAAAACAAGCAGCUGAGAUUUACACCAAUGCAGUAUUUGACAAAUUUCAGGAGGAGUUUGUUGAAUCAUUGGGUUAUUAUGUUGAAAGAUUUGAGAAUGGACCUGUUAGCAAGUAUAGUGUGGCAAAGGAAGAGGAUAGUAGUAAGACUUACAUUGUCAGUUUCAGUGAAUCUGAAAAAAAAGCAACCUGCAGCUGUUGUAAGUUUGAAUCUUCUGGCAUCUUAUGCAGGCAUAUAUUGCGGGUGUUUUUCAUUGUUGGGGUUCGUGUGCUCCCAGAAGAGUAUAUAUUGAAACGAUGGUCUAGGAAUGCCAUGGGCAGUGUUGUUUUGGAUGAAAGGGUAAUUGAACCUGGACUUAGUUUCCAAGAGUAUCUGGUUGCUUGGUACAAUGACCUUUGCCUGGAUGCUGUCAAAUAUGGAAUGGAGGGGGCAAUAUCUGCGGAGGUAUAUAAGGUUGCCAAAAUUGCACUUCACAAUGCAUUUGCUGAAGUUGUUGCUGCAAAAAACAUGCAAAAGAAAGGGCAACAAAACCUGCAGAGAUUUGCGAGGCUACAGAAGAUGCACUACAAGAUGCCAUUGCCAAAAUUGCAAACAAAGAAGACGCCUACAAAAUCAGGUCAAAGUGAAGUUAGAAGUAAAAGUUCCAAAGAAGAUAAAUUAGAUGCAGCUGAUUCUGGACUUGAUGGAGGUGCUGAUCAAAGAUGAGUGCAAUUUUAUGGUCGGCAGCAGCUCUUUGUACACUCUCAUCUGCUUAGAAGUAUGGUAGAACUCAUCUGUCAGCCAGAUUGCAGAGCUGAGGAGACAGCGGUUCGCUCUUGGCUAUGACUCACUUUGGCAUACGUAGAGUCGAGAGAAGUUUGUUUGGAAUCAAUUUGAUUUCAUGUGUUAAUGUGAAAAUAUUUCUGUUCAGAUACCAGCUGUUCUGUGAGAAUUGCAAGGGGAUGUUUCUCUGUACAAUGCACAGUGAACAUUUCAUAUUUUCAGUAACUUUCUCCAUCA